rnacentral:rRNA from 1 species
AGCAGCCGCGGUAAUUCCAGCUCCAAUAGCGUAUAUUAAAGUUGUUGCAGUUAAAAAGCUCGUAGUUGAAUUUCGGGGUCAGUAGGUUGGUCGUGCCACGGGUAUGAACUGGUCUCACUGAUUCCUCCUUCCUGAUGAACCGUAAUGCCAUUAAUUUGGUGUUGCGGGGAGACUGGACUGUUACUUUGAAAAAAUUAGAGUGUUUAAAGCAGGCUAACGCUUGAAUACAUUAGCAUGGAAUAAUGAAAUAGGACGUUCGGUCUUAUUUUGUUGGUUUCUAAGAUUGACGUAAUGAUUAAUAGGGAUAGUUGGGGGCAUUAGUAUUCAAUUGUCAGAGGUGAAAUUCUUGGAUUUAUUGAAGACUAACUACUGCGAAAGCAUUUGCCAAGGAUGUUUUCAUUAAUCAAGAACGAAAGUUAGGGGAUCGAAGACGAUCAGAUACCGUCGUAGUCUUAACCAUAAACUAUGCCGACUAGGGAUCGGAUGAUGUUAAUUUUUUAAUGACUCAUUCGGCGCCUUACG